rnacentral:rRNA from 1 species
GACGAACGCUGGCGGCGUGCUUAACACAUGCAAGUCGAACGGAAAGGCCCUGCUUUUGUGGGGUGCUCGAGUGGCGAACGGGUGAGUAACACGUGAGUAACCUGCCCUUGACUUUGGGAUAACUUCAGGAAACUGGGGCUAAUACCGGAUAGGAGCUCCUGCUGCAUGGUGGUGGUUGGAAAGUUUCGGCGGUGGGGGAUGGACUCGCGGCUUAUCAGCUUGUUGGUGGGGUAGUGGCUUACCAAGGCUUUGACGGGUAGCCGGCCUGAGAGGGUGACCGGCCACAUUGGGACUGAGAUACGGCCCAGACUCCUACGGGAGGCAGCAGUGGGGAAUAUUGCACAAUGGGCGGAAGCCUGAUGCAGCAACGCCGCGUGCGGGAUGACGGCCUUCGGGUUGUAAACCGCUUUCGCCUGUGACGAAGCGUGAGUGACGGUAAUGGGUAAAGAAGCACCGGCUAACUACGUG